rnacentral:rRNA from 1 species
CGUGAAUCAUCGAAUMUUYGAACGCACAUYGCGUCCUCUGGUGUUCCGGAGGGCAUGCCUGUUUGAGCGUCGUU